rnacentral:rRNA from 1 species
GACGAACGCUGGCGGCGUGCUUAACACAUGCAAGUCGAACGGAAAGGCCCUGCUUUUGUGCUGUUCUCGAGUGGCGAACGCGUGCGUAACACGUGAGUAACCUGCCCUUCACUUUCGGAUAACUUCACGAAACUAGGGCUACUAUCGGAUAGGAUCUCCCGCUCCAUUGUGGGCGUUGGAAAUUUUCGGCGGUUGGGGUUGGACUCGCGGCUUAUCAGCUUGUUGGUUGGGUAGUGGUUUACCAAGGCUUUGACCGGUCGCCGGCCUGGGAGGGUGACCGGGGACCAGGGGACUGAGAUACGGCGCAGACUGCAACGGGAGGCAGCAGUGGGGAAUAUGGCACAGUGAGCGGAAGCGGGAUGCAGCAACGCCGCGGGCGGGAUGACGGCCUUUGGGUAGUAAACCGCUUUCGCCUGUGACGAAGCGUGAGUGACGGUAAUGGGUAAAGAAGCACCGGCUAACUACGUG